AUGCAUUCCAGAAACCAAGAUCAUGCAGAUAGACUAUUUUACAGAUCAAAAAGUUUCGCUUCGACAAGGCCCAGGAAUCACGCAAUCUCUCGCCCCGGCAUAGCCAACCUCAAAGACAGCGAUGCUAACACAGGCUUCUUCCACCGGCAGUGCUCGUUCAGACGACAGAAGAACCGCAUCUUUAGCCUCACUGCGGAUGGCAGGGUGCUCACGGACCACACUGAGAUGGAGCAGGCAGCCUUCCUCCAUCACGACGCCCUGCUGGGCACCGCCGCCGACCAGGAGCACUCCCUGGACCUGUCACAGCUCAUUGAACCGACAGACCUUGCCGACCUUGACGAACCGUUCAGCACGGAGGAGAUCUGGGAGGCUGUCAAGCGCCUCCCCGCGCACAAGGCGCCAGGACCAGACAGGUUCACGGCGGAAUUCCUUCGUGCGUGCUGGAGCAUCGUCAGGCAGGACUUUCUCGACGUGUUCAGCAGCUCUAUGACCUGCGAGGAAGAGGGUUCUGCAAGCUGA
rnacentral:rRNA from 1 species